CUUCGGUACACCCCGAAGGCUGAACUGCUCGUGAGAUAUGGAUAUUACAAAUGGUCUGGAGUGGUCACGAGACCAACAUCCUCUGGCUGGGUAAGCUGUGGACCAUAGAAGAAACUCCAAGAUCAGCCAUUAAGAAUGCCAGGAUAGCCCCAAAUGUGAACUGUUACCUCAGACCCAGACAGGUGCCAGAGGUGUCCUCAAGGCUGAUGGAGCCUGGCAUUGGCUUGCUCGCUGUGAUCAGCCGCUGACAACCUGACAGGAUCACUUUCCCUGAUUACAUUUUAAACUUGGACUGAACCACACUCAGUUGCUUUUCGAAUGAGAGAGAGGCAGGCGGCAAGACAAGGAAGACCUGUCAUAGAAGGAGGUUUGCCCAGUCUUCAGGAUCACAGGACACACAGCGUCGCUUCCACAUUUCAACCUAACUAAAACACUGCAUCCAAUAAAUUGUCAUCGGGUGAGAAUGGAAACAUUCGAGAUAGUGCACAAACUCCAUCUGGUACCGUGUGAAAUCGAAGAGGAAUGUUCAGGGGUGAGGAGUGGAAGAAGCCAUGAUGUACCCCCUACUGGAAACUAGCUCCAGUUAGUUGUCAAAAGGCAUUUUCUGACCGAAUACCAUCAUUUCUUAGUGUAGUAGUAAAAAAAAAAAAAAAAGGAAUCACUGAGGCUAUAACAUUCUCUUCUAGGCAAGUGAUGAAGAAUGCUGACUUGGCUAUUUUAUUGCCUCCACCUUUCCUACUGUGGUAGGUAGUUUGCUGAUAGGUUUAGUUUUGGAUAGCAAUUAAUGUUACAUAAUUACUGGCAGGGAAGCACCACUUAUGUAUCAGUAGCUUUUAAAUGCUAGCAGGGUCAUGGCUACAAACUAGGACUUGUCUGUGCAAGACACAAACAAUUGGCCAGGUCAUUCAUUAUUUCUCCUUCGGUUGCCCAUUCUAAAUGCCAGCUUGAGGGAGCUGGAUGCUUCCUUGGUCUUGUACCAAGGUUCUCAGGGUUCAUUAACACAUCCACAGAUCCUCAUAGUCAUCAGGAUACAAACUUCAGUAAGGGUUAGUGUUAUUACAGUAGAACUUUCGAUAUGAUUACAAUCCAAUGAGUCUUUUAGGUUCCAUGCAUUUGGGGAGAGGGUCUAAUGUACCCCAGACUGGUCUCAACCUCAAUAAGUAGAGGAGAUUGGCCUUGAAUUUCUGCUUCUCCUAAGGAUCAGGAUUACAGAUGUGCACCAGUACACCCGAUUUGUGGGGUUCUGAGAAUCGAACUCAGGGCUUCAUGAAUGCUAGGCAAGCACUCUACCAACUGAGCUAUAUAACCCAGGGGUUUCCGUUUUUAACACUGGUGUUAACUCGAACACACUUGCUUAUUAAUACCAUCCUGUUGAUGUUUACAGCACUCUUCAGGUGGAGGGGAUGUGUUUUCUGCCUCUAAGGUCAAAGUUCACCACUAUUAGGUGCAGUUGAAUUUUUCACAUUAUCCACAGACCUUGCCUGGCAAACUGCUACUUUUAGUGAUCCUCUGAAGACAGACAGCAAGGUCAGCAGCCCCCAUUGAUCCCUUGUUACAUGACCAACAUCUCUGGGCAGUAAAUUGUGUGUUGACACAUAUCAUUGUUAAAAAGCAAGCUUAAAAACCAAUUACUCAGCUUGGCAAGGAAGAUUUUUGCUCUUCUCCCAAAAUAUUUCCAUGGAAUUUCCUUCAGGACCUAAGUAACAUAGGGAAAUUGAAGGUGAUAGAAACAAGACUAGGCAAACAUGCAUCUGCAUUUACAAUAGCAAGCAACUUUGCCCACAGCCUGUAAUUCUUAAAUCUUCAUUUGAUGUGUGGAUAAUUUUUCUAAGGGCAGAAUUUCUUAGUUCACUGAUUCAUGAUGCUCCCACAUUAUUGAUGAAAUUAAGGUAAUAUUGAAAGUGACAGCACUGUGAGGCAAUCUUAAACUGCCUUUUUAUUACACGCAAUUAGCAGUAGAAUUGAGAACCACUUUCUAAUAUAAAAUCGCCAGCCAUAGAGGUUGCAAAUGAAAUUCACUGUAGUGAUUUCAGCUGAUAAGUCUCAACUUCUUUCCCUUCAUUUGCUGAAGUUCUCUCCCGCCCCCUCCAGUUUUAGCCCUACAGAAUAAUGAGAAAACAGUUAAAUUGGGCUAGCAGCGGGUUUCAACUGAGAUUUACUGCGUUCUCAUCUUCCCGAGGGACCAUAAAACCACCCCUGACAUCUCAUUCUGAAAUCUCUUGUGUUAACAGAUGGGUGUGGCAUGAAAAGGGAACUCUGGAUUCAAGUGACAGACAAGUUCUAUACUUUGAAAAAGAGUCCUUAAGAAGGCUUUCUGCCAUCAGCUGGGGACCUCCCCAGCAAUCGUUACCACGCCAUCUCCAACACACUCCUGCAAAACACUCUUAAAUUUACCUUAAAUAUUUUAAUAUUUCCCUCUAAAUUUUACUUUCAGUUUAUAAAA